UUCCGGUUGAUCCUGCCAGAGGUUACUGCUAUCGAGGUUCGACUAAGCCAUGCGAGUCGAAUGUAGCAAUACAUGGCGUACUGCUCAGUAACACGUGGAUAACCUACCCUUGAGACGGGGAUAAACCCGGGAAACUGGGUAUAAUACCCGAUAGAUCUCGACUGCUGGAAUGCAUCGAGCUCUAAAGCUCCGGUGCUCAAGGAUGGGUCUGCGGCCUAUCAGGUAGUAGUGGGUGUAGCGUACCUACUAGCCUACGACGGGUACGGGUUGUGAGAGCAAGAGCCCGGAGAUGGAUUCUGAGACACGAAUCCAGGCCCUACGGGGUGCAGCAGGCGCGAAAACUUUACAAUGCUGGAAACAGCGAUAAGGGGACCUCGAGUGCCAGGUUACAAAUCUGGCUGUCGUGAUGCCUAAAAAGCAUUGCAUAGCAAGGGCCGGGCAAGACCGGUGCCAGCCGCCGCGGUAACACCGGCGGCUCGAGUGGUAACCGUUAUUAUUGGGUCUAAAGGGUCUGUAGCCGGCCGGAUAAGUCUCUUGGGAAAUCUGGCAGCUUAACUGUCAGGCUUUCAGGAGAUACUGCCUGGCUCGAGGCCGGGAGAGGUGAGAGGUACUUCAGGGGUAGGGGUGAAAUCUUGUAAUCCUUGAAGGACCACCAGUGGCGAAGGCGUCUCACCAGAACGGACCUGACGGCAAGGGACGAAAGCUAGGGGCACGAACCAGAUUAGAUACCCGGGUAGUCCUAGCCGUAAACGAUACUCGCUAGGUGUCGGCCACGGUGCGCACCGUUGUCAGUGCCGUAGGGAAGCCGUGAAGCGAGCCACCUGGGAAGUACGGCCGCAAGGCUGAAACUUAAAGGAAUUGGCGGG
rnacentral:rRNA from 1 species